ensembl:lincRNA
CCCAGCAGCCUCUGGGACGGGCGCGGUGCGUAAGUAGCUCGCCGGCGGUGGCCGUUCUCCGUAAAAUGGCGGACCGGCGGCGGCAGCGCGCUUCGCAAGACACCGAGGACGAGGAAUCUGGUGCUUCGGGCUCAGACAGCGGCGGCUCCCCGUUGCGGGGCGGCGGGAGCUGCAGCGGUAGCGCUGGAGGCGGCGGCAGCGGCUCUCUGCCUUCACAGCGCGGAGGCCGAAUCGGGGCCCUUCAUUUGCGGCGGGUGGAGAGCGGGGGCGCCAAGAGCGCUGAGGAGUCGGAGUGUGAGAGUGAAGAUGGCAUUGAAGGUGAUGCUGUUCUCUCGGAUUAUGAAAGUGCAGAAGACUCAGAAGUGAGUAUGACAGGUUUUUUCCUAUGGUACAGAUCAGAAAUGCUUUUAGAAAGUGUACACACCUUCGUUGCAAACGUACCAUGACCUCCGUGUUUAUCCUCUUGUGUAUUCUUCAUUUAUGCUUCUGAGAAAGUGUUACAGAAUGUCUUGUUCUCUUUAGACCUAGGGAAAACUUGGGGCAUGCCGUCUCAAGCCACAGGUGUUAUACUGUUAGUUGACUUCUCUUCCUGUCUGAAGAAUAUGAGAUUCUAAAUAAGAGAAUGAGUACAUCUUGAAGUCCUCUGAAAGAUGUUUGACAGUUUGUUUUAUGCAGUGUAGGUUAAGAAGCCAGCCAGUUGGAUAUUUUUUUCGUGGAUUUUUUUUUCCAAAUCUAUCUGAAGACUUUGAAAGGGUAGGAUUCUGAAUGUUUUGUGCCAAGAGCAUCCAUCAUUUUAUAGGUGGGGAUUUCUCUGUUUCUAGGAGAGUUUCCUGUCUUUUGGAUAAACUACUAGAGAUGCCAUCAGAAUAAAUGUUUGUUUUCUGGGUUGUUGAGUGGAGUCCUGAGUUCUGCUAAUGGGAUUAUAUACAGGGGGAAUUGGAUAGUGGAUCAAAGAUUUUGUCUAUAAAUUUUUAGAACCGUUACUACAUUUUAGAAUCUGUUAAGCCCUUGAAGAUGGAACAGUGAACACUAUAACAAAAUUCCUAUCUUUAGAGAUCUUACAACUUAAUAAGGAAGUCAGACAAACAUUCAAGCAAUUGUACCACUUGCUGAUAGAGGAUAGCGCUGGGAUAGGGCUAAGUAGGGUGUUAUAGCUGGGCACUGAAUCCAUCCUAGUCAGUCAGGAAAGAUUAAGAGUUGACUGGUAGAAUGUGUUCUAGGCAGAGGGAACAACAGUCAAGAAAGCCCAUAGGGGCUGGGAGCAGUGGCUCAUGCCUGUAAUCCCAGCACUUUGGAAGACUGAGGCAGGCGGAUCACUUGAGACCAGGAGUUUGAGACCAGCCUGGCCAACAUGGUGAAAACCCAUCUCUACUAAAAAAUAACAAAAAUUAGCUGGGUAUGGUGAUGUAUGCCUGUAAUUCCAGCUACUUGGGAGGCUGAGACACGAAAAUUGUUUGAUCCCAGGAGAUGGAGGUGGCAGUGAGCUGAAAUCAUGCCACUGCACUCCUAUGUGGGUGACGGAGUGAGACUGUCUUAAAAAGUAAAUACAUAAAAAAAAAAAAGAGGCCAGGCACUGUGGCUCACGCCUGUGAUCCCAGCACUUUGGGAGGCCGAGACGGGCGUAUCACAAGGUGAGGAGGUGGAGACCAUCCUGGCUAACACGGUGAAACCCUGUCUCUACUAAAAAUACAAAAAAUUAGCCAAGCAUGGUGGCGGGCGCCUUGUAGUCCCACCUACUCUGGAGGCUGAGGCAAGAGAAUGGUGUGAACCCGGAAGGCGGAGCUUGCAGUGAGCUGAGAUCGCACCACUGCACUCCAGCCUGGGUGACAGAGCGAGACUCCGUCUGGAAAAAAAAAAACAAACCCAUAGGGGUACAAAAAAGUAAUAAUACUUAGGAUGAAUAAGAUCUAAACCCAGCGCAAUGGCUCACACCUGUAAUCCCAGCACUGUGGGAGGCCAAGAUGGGCCAGUCACUUGAGGCCAGGAGGUCAAGACCAGCCUGGCCAACUUGGCAAAACUCCAUCUCUACUAAAAAUACAAAAAUUAGCAGGUCGUGGUCACGCAUGCCCGUAAUUCCAACUACUCAAGUGGCUGAGGCAGGAGAAUCCCUUGAGCCUGGGAAGUGGAGGUGGCAGGGAGCCGUAAUCAACACCACUGUAAUCCAGCCCGGGCAACAGAGCAAGACUCUGUCUCAAAAAAAUUUAAAAAAUAAGAAUGACUAAGAUCUAGAAUUUCAUAUUUGCAACAUGGUGACUACAGUCAACAGUAACUUAUUGUAUAUUUAAAAAUAACUAUUGGCUGGGCAUGGUGCUCAAGCCUGUAAUACCCAGCAUUGGGAGGCCGAAGGUGGGUGGAUCACGAAGUCAAGA